rnacentral:rRNA from 1 species
UACGGGGGGGGCAAGCGUUGUUCGGAAUUACUGGGCGUAAAGGGCUCGUAGGUGGCCAACUAAGUCGGACGUGAAAUCCCUCGGCUUAACCGGGGAACUGCGUCCGAUACUGGUUGGCUUGAGUUUGGGAGAGGGAUGCGGAAUUCCAGGUGUAGCGGUGAAAUGCGUAGAUAUCUGAAGGAACACCAGUGGCGAAAGCGGCUUCCUGGUCCAGUACCGACGUUCAGGCACGAAAGCGUGGGGAGCAAACAGG